rnacentral:rRNA from 1 species
UACGUAGGGGGCGAGCGUUGUCCGGAUUUAUUGGGCGUAAAGAGCUCGUAGGCGGUUCGAUAAGUCGGACGUGAAAUCUCCACGCUCAACGUGGAGGGGCCGUUCGAUACUGUCGUGACUCGAGUCCGGUAGGGGAGUGUGGAAUUCCCGGUGUAGCGGUGAAAUGCGCAGAGAUCGGGAGGAACACCCGUAGCGAAGGCGGCACUCUGGGCCGGUACUGACGCUGAGGAGCGAAAGCGUGGUGAGCAAACAGG